rnacentral:tRNA from 1 species
AGCAGCCCGGUAGCUCGUCAGGCUCAUAACCUGAAGGUCGUAGGUUCAAAUCCUACUCCCGCAA